rnacentral:misc_RNA from 1 species
GAAAUGCGAUACGUAAUGUGAAUUGCAGAAUUCAGUGAAUCAUCGAAUCUUUGAACGCAUCUUGCGCUCUCUGGUAUUCCGGAGAGCAUGUCUGUUUGAGUGUCAUGAAUUCUUCAACCCAAUCUUUUCUUGUAAUCGAUUGGUGUUUGGAUUCUGAGCGUUGCUGGCGUUUGCCUAGCUCGUUCGUAAUACAUUAGCAUCCCUAAUACAAGUUUGGAUUGACUUGGCGUAAUAGACUAUUCGCUAAGGAUUCGGUGGAAACAUCGAGCCAACUUCAUUAAGGAAGCUCCUAAUUUAAAAGUCUACCUUUUGAUUAGAUCUCAAAUCAGGCAGGAUUACCCGCUGAACUUAA